rnacentral:rRNA from 1 species
UACGGAGGUGGCAAGCGUUGCUCGGAAUCACUGGGCGUAAAGGGCGCGUAGGCGGGGAGUUAAGUCGGGUGUGAAAUCCCUCGGCCCAACCGAGGAACUGCGCCCGAGACUGCUUCUCUUGAGUCCCGGAGAGGAAGAUGGAAUUCCCGGUGUAGCGGUGAAAUGUGUAGAGAUCGGGAGGAACACCGGUGGCGAAGGCGGUCUUCUGGACGGUGACUGACGCUGAGGCGCGAAAGCGUGGGGAGCAAACGGG